AUUUUAAGUUCAAAAAGUAGUCUCUGUGCUAAUUCUCAAGUCAAAUGAAGAGGCUCAUUUCUGAUGAUUGCUUAAUCUUUAUUCCCCAAAGAAUCUUUCCACCCUAAAAAAAGUCAAUAGCAUUCUCUACACCAACUUGCCUGCACACGUCUUCUUUGCUUUGUUUCCUUUUUCUUCUGCUCUUAAAAAUCUUCUGGCAUGAAUGAAGCCUGGGAAGCAGCAUGAUUUGAGAUGAAAAGAUUGUAGUCAUCAAUAUAUCUUCUGAAGACACAUUUCUAGUCUCAAAAUUACAUGGAGACAGAAUGGGGUCAGCUCCAGUCUGUUUUUUUCACCUUAACUUAGAGUCUAAAGUUGAGACCACCUGGCACCCUUUCCCAUCAUAUUGUAUCAAAUUUGAAGAGACUUGUUUCCUUCUGGGUAGAACUUCUAUGAAAUCCAGGUGUAGCUUACUUUAGGAUGAACUGGGAGUUUGGGGUUAAUAAAUGCAACUAUUACAUUUAGAAUAGAUAAUCAAUGAGGUCCUACUGUACAGCACAGGGAACUAUGUUCAGUCUCUUGGGAUAGACCAUGAUGGAAUACAGUAUGAGAAAAAGAAUGUAUACGCAUGUAUGCCUGGGUCGCUUUGCUGUACAGCAGAAAUUGGCACAACAUUAUAAAUCAACUAUACUUUAAUCAAAUAAAAAGAAAAGAAUCGAAAAAUUUAUUUUGCUUUGUUUUGAAACUAUGAUUCUCAUAAGGAGCUACCAAGUGGAAUUUAUUCUUUAUAUGUGAAUACUGAAGUCACUAGCAGAACGUGUGAGGGGGCAGAGAUAGAUUUUGAAUAUGCUGUCUAAAUUAUUGAACCAAAAGCCCAGUUUUCAACAUGCUUCAGCAGUCCAACUGUAUGAAGGAGAGGCAUUACACCAUGGUGGAUAAGAGCAUAGACUGGCUUUGAAUCUUGGCUCUCUUUACUGGCUGUGAGACAGCAGUUGAGUUAUUUAAUCUCUUGCCUCGGUUUCCUCAUCUGUAGAAUGGGGAUAAUGGCGCGACCACUGGGGAUAAUGGUGCGACCACUGCCUACACCUACCUCAGAGGGUUCUUGCAACGAUUAAACGAGUUAACAUUUAUAAAGUGCUUAGACUAGUAUCUUAGCACGUAGUAAGAUGUAGUGAAUUGGAUACUGCUAUCACUAUGGAUGUAGGAUCUUCAUGUUAUAAAGACUGAAAGAUAGCUUUUCUGUAAAUAUGACUCAGGAGCUUCCAGAUCGAUCCUUCAGGUCUUAACUUUCUAUUUUAUUGUUUUAAACUUUAUACCAGCAUUUCUUCUGUUUUAUUAAAUGGAGAACGCCUUCUUCCUGAAAACCUCAAUUCCGAUCAUUAUCUGAAAGCCAGAACCGGCAAGUAACACCGUUUGUUGGGAAAAUAUUUUUCAAGAACCAUUUGAUCAUUAAAGUUAAUUGAUAAACAGAUUAGAGAACAAACAGGAACAUUUGAUAGUUAAAAUAUAGUGUUUUCUGGAUCGUGAUAAGUAUGUGUUGUAAUUCUGUAUGUAAUAGUUUGUAAUUAUGUAUGUACUUAUUAAGCAAUCCUUGCUUUCCCUUUUUUUCCCCCUUUUGUGGCCAUUCUGUGGCAUGUGGAGUUCCCGGGCCAGGGAUCAGAUUUGAGCCACAGUUGCAACGUACACCACAGCUUUGGCAAUGCCAGAUCCUUUAUCCCACUGCACCAGACUGGGAAUUGAGCCUGUGUCCUAGAGCUGCAUAGAUGCCACCAAUCCCCUUGUGCCACAGUGGAAACUCCAAUCCUUGCUUUCCCAAUUAGACCUUAGAGUCCAUGAGGUCAGGGACUAUGUUUUGGUCACCAUUAAAUUCCAGCACCCAGUGCCUGACACAUAGUAGGCAUUCAAAAGUAUUUGUUGUGUAUCCAGAUGGCCAAGUGGUCUAAGGCACAAGAGUCAAAAGUAAUUGUCAAAUGAUGGGACAAUUGCCAAUGAUACAUGGCUUGGUAACAAAAAUGAUACUUUGGAAGUCAUUGUGUUUAUAUAAUAGACUCUUAAGAAAUUCAUGUGUCGUUAAUGGGGUUAUUCAUACUCUUAAUAUUUCUAUUAAGAAAGUUGAAGGCAGACAGAAACUGAGGGAGAUGGAGAGAUUCAUUAGCCUAGCAAAGAGACAGGCUGGAGGGACUGAUUCUAGUCUUCUGAGUCCUAGUCUGGAUCUGUUUCUAGUAAAAUGAAAAGGACUUAUAAAAUCAAGAAAUUCUGCCUUCUCUACUCUUGUUCUUUCUUCUCCUCUGCCAUAGUUCCAUGCUUUGCAUCUCUAGAUGCAGAGAGAAGAAAGGAGAGAAUUUUCAGACAGUUAGCUAGAGUUCUCCUUCUGGAAGAAAGUGAGCAUCAAAGCACAGACUGGCUUCAUAGCCAUGAUUCAGAAUCCUGCCUCUGAGGGGCCAGGUCCUGGUGACAGUUUCUGACAUUCUGAUAAAGUUGGUAUGUGCUGUUAGCCCACAGGCAGGUGUCUUGAACAUCAAAAGACUAGGAUUGGCAAUGACAAUUUAAAAUGAAAGUGGCAUCAUGCUGAAAAAUUACCACGUAUGCAAAUGGAUGACUUUCUAUUUAGCUCCUGAAAAUACUGUACAUAGAAAGACAGUCUUAACCAUCUGGAAACUAUUUUGAGGAAAUUCAAGUUUUGGAGCGCAACUCUAUUAAUGAUUCCCUCUUGUCUUUGUUGUUCUUAUUUCCAUGUUGCCUUGCCCUCAAAUCAGAUCCUAAAACUUGUUUCCUACAAAAUAGCUCCCAACAAAUUUGUAAGCCAGACUCUUUCCCCUCUGUUCUCUUUGACUUUCAGACAUUCCUCUGGUUUUGCUCUAAGUUAUGUGUACAUAUCGCAGACCUAAAUGGUCCUGUUUUAUUUUUUUUAACUACUCUUAGCACAUGUGGAGAUGAUUUAGUUCCCGAAAGAGGGUGCUUGGGACGCCUACCUUUUUUUAAUUUUAAUUUUUUUUUACAAAAUUCAAAUCCUAUGGAAUAAGAGAGAGGUUAUUCGGUCUCCUUUAAGGAUAAACCAGAAGCAAAAUCAAAUGAAAUUUAAAAAAAUCAAAUCAUGCCAUUGGAAUAAUGUUCAGUAUCACAGGGAUGAGAAUUUAAUGUUAGAUAAUUUACAAUUAUUACUAUUAUGCCACACAAAACUGUACCCAGGGUGGUUACAUCCGUGGAGAUGUAAUUGUCUUGGACUUGUUGGUGUUGUUUCAUUUCGGUCUCCAUGCUAGAUUAAAAUUCCAUAAAACUGUGAUUAACUAAAAUGCUUGAGGAAUGAGGACUUAUGUUUCAUUUAAUUUUCUGGUUAGCUGUGAGCUAAAGUUUAACCAGAAAUCUCUGGGCUUUAAUCCUUGUUGAACAAUUUUCUAAAAUCAUUUCAUUUCCUUGCAUCAAAAGGAUAGCAUGGUGGAAAAGUCUGUCAUGGGUAGUUAGGAACAUAAGUUCUUAGGGAUCAUUUUCUGACUGUUAUAAAAUGUUACUGGUGGAGAGGUAAAAGGUUGAAAUGAACAUGGAAACUAGCCAAAGACUUGACCCCUGAGGUCAAACAGUUGGUUACCUCUGUCUUUUAAAAGUGGACAAUAAACUGGUAAUUAUUGAGCACCUAUGAUUUACUAGGCCUUAACCAUCCCCUUCAGGAGCCCAUAUUCUGGUGGUGAGAGAAAUGUGCUUACAGAUAAUUACUAUACAAUGUAAUAAGUGCUUAAGAAGGUAUACAGUAAGUGCUACUGUAGCUCAGAGCUGGGAACCAUCAAUGGCUUGAGAAAGUCAAAGGCCUGACCCAGGGGAGGUUGAUGGUCUGGGUCUUGACGCAUGCAUAGGAGUUCAGUAGAGGUGAGCAGGUAGGACAUCCUUGGCACAGGGAGCAGACUUUGAAAUACACAGAGAUGUCAGUGAAGGCUGCCUAUCUUGAGACCUGAUGUGUAUGUCUGUCUGGGUGCCAGAGCAGGAGAAACUGUUGGCACAUGAGUCUGGACAGCAGGCUAGAGCAGACCAAAAAGAGCCAUUUAUCCAGAGUUCCAGUGCUAUUUUAUAUGUAACAUUUAACAAAGGAGUUUUGAAAAUUGGAUUUGUUUUCCAGAAAGAUUAUUCCAGCAAUGGUGGGAGGGAAGCACAGGAAGGAGGAAGAGAUUAUUUUGAUUAACUUGUUAGUAUUUCAAAAAAUAUGGUUUUAUUGACCUGAAUUAUAGCUUGUUAUAUUAUUUUACCUAUAAGUAGGAAAACAUUUCAGUUUUAUUCUUUCAUUUAGAUGCCAUAUUAUUAUUAUCUUCACUUUGAAUAUUGGGAAACUAAGGCACAAUGGGCUUAUGACUUCAAGGUUCUGAAUGGAAACCAUUGAGAAACUGACUGAAAGCCAGGUCCUGAAAUUUCUUCCAGCAAUUGCUAGACCACGGUUCCCACUAUUACAGCAUAUUUAUGAUAUAAUUAACUUUCAGAAAGCCAUAUGGCUUUUGUUAUGAAGACUAAAGGAAUGCGCUUUUCAUAACGAAUGGCAUAUGGCCUCCAAUAGCUCUUUGCUUGCAUGUUUUAGCAAAAUGAACAUGUACAUAAAUUAGAUGCCUCAGGUCAGUUAGCAGGCUGAGGUUGAUUUUCUUCUGCUCUCUCUAAUUACAACCGCAUUUUUGACAAAUAUCAGGGAGGUAUUUUGGCAGCCUGCUGGUGUAAACAUACAUAAUAUGGCUCAGAUGAUCCUUUUUUCUUGUGGCAUGGGCCCUUUAAAGAGGCAGCCCUGGUUUCUUAGUCAUAGUGGAGUGUGCAGCUCUCAGAAGCAGGGCCAUUUCUGAUGAAGCUGCAACGCUUGUGGAAUGCUGGGAAAAUCAUUUGACCGAAGAUGAUAGAAGAGGCAAAAGCAACAACGAAGUGGGUACCAUUGAGCUGAAAGUAGACCUUUGUCUUUGGUCACUUAAGUGAUGCAGGGCUGCUGGAUAUGUGAGAGAGGCUCAUGGGCAGAACGAAUUUAAUAGCAGUGAAGCAUGAGGGCUCACACUACAUCUCUCAGAGUUACUUAGAAGCCUUUCUAUUCAGGGUAACAUGCCUUAAAGUUCUGCCUUCUUGGUUCACACUUGGUUUCUUCUACUGUUGAUUUAGCAGGUUUUUUGAUGGAGUCUGAGAAAGAACUCCUUGCAACUUUCACAUUAUCACAUUAUAAUAUUCACCUCUUAUGAUUUGUACUCAAAGUCAAUGACAUUAUCUCAAUGGAAUUCCCUGGACUCUGAAUUCAUAAGACAGUCCAAAAUGUUCUGCCUGAGAUGGAAAAAUACAGCACAAUUACUGUAAGUCAGUUGGUUCACGAAGGAUCCUAAUUUCAAUUGUAGCUACUCAUCAUGUCGGUAAAUCAUUUGAGUUUCUUUUACAUACGUGUUUAUAUUAUCCUAAUAAUAAAAAUUUUUGUUAGUUAAGUGGAAGUAUAUCAAUUUGAAAAGGAAAAUUAAAACGUAUAUGUUUCUUAAGUAAAGUAAUAAGUCAAAAUGCAUUUUAAUUAAUAUUGAAAUCAUUGAACCCUCCUAUUCAAAGCUUAAUAUUCUAAGAACAAAACCCACAUAAUUUAGGAUAAUUUAUUCAUGAAGAAUAAACCAAAUGUUUUAAAUAAUAAACUUUCAGUGUGUCCUUUUCCCAUCUAAAAUGACUCAUUCAAAUCCUGUUCAUACAAAAAAGGAAAUGUUUGUUAACUUGUAUCCUAAUUCAUCUUCUAUAUUUAUUAUAAUCUAGAUUCCUUUUUUGGACAAGUCAUAGCUUCUCCUUUCAUAAAAUAAUGUCUUCCAUUAUGUUAUAAUUGCAAAGCAUGGACUCAUAGGAUCAAUGAUUCAUAGGGCUGGAUGGAAUAAGCCUUCAGCAAUCAUCUCUGCCUCUAGGGCACCUCUAAACCAUGAAAAACAAGGUGAGUAAGAGACACCUUUAGCCAGAAACAUGGUUUUGGCUAGAUAACGAAAAAGGUAAACCUGGGAACUCUUAAGUGAAGAUUCUUUCUUUCUUUCUUUCUUUCUUUCUUUCUUUCUUUCUUUCUUUCUUUCUUUCUUUCUUUCUUUCUUUCUUUCCUUCCUUCCUUCCUUCCUUCCUUCCUUCCUUCCUUCCUCCCUCCCUCUCUUUCUUUCUUUUUUUCUUUCUUUCAGUGAAACUCACCCCAAACUGAUAUAAUUAGAAUAAUAACCCCACCAGAAAACCUGUCUGUGUGAAAGUGUGAAAUGACCUAGAGUCACUUCCUAUUUGAGAAUUGGAUACUAGAAUCUGUAAGCCCCCAGAUAAACAAUGUUUGAGAAUAAAAGCUUCUUCCCUCAACUACUUAAGCAUUAUUUAUUGCAUGCCUGGAAAAAUAUGAACAGUACAUAAGUGCAAGAUUUGUUAACAAAUUAAUCCUACAUAAUCUACAGCAAGCCAAAAAAACAAUUUGGUGGAAAGCAGCAUUAGAAUCAUAAAAACCAAUGGGAAGCUAGCAUAAAAUGUUGUUUUCUUAAAUGUUACAAUUCACUCGGGUUAAGACAAUUCCCAUCUUGCUUGUAGGCUCUAUUCAACUUGGAGAUAGUUGUAUUCGAGGCUAUACUUCAAAAUACUACAACAGUAUGGCUUACUGUGUGCAGAAGUCAGGGCAAAAAUUUUAAGCACACUUAAUCCUCUGGCUGUGUAUAAAAUGGUCCUUUCAGGACUGAGCAAAUGUAGACACAAAUAGAGCAAAUAUGGCUCCCUAAAAUUACCUCGAGUAUUGGGUCAACUUGAAUUUUAUAUUCUAAGAACAUUUUGAUAUGCAAAGACAUAACCAUCUUGCUUCUCCAAAGUUUCAAAUCUUGCACCAAAUUAUUUUAACAAGCAAAUAUGAUUAUAACAUAAAUGAGGGCAAACACCAAAUUGUCUUCCAAGGAAACUGGAUUCUGUUACUCAGAUGUAUGUGUAUGUCUUGUUCUGCUGGGCACCAUAUUGGGUCUGAAUCUUCUAAGGUGGUGUUAGAACCACUUUUGAGGUUGUACGUGCAGAGAGCUGAACUGGAACUGGGGAGACAUAGGAAAGGAAGGGUAGAGGAGGAUUUAUGGAAAGGGAGAGAGGAGAGCAGCCAGGGAGAUGAUGUGAUGCUGGGAAACCACCAAGCAUAAAGGCCGUGAGUGAAAAUCCCAAGUGUUGAGGUGACUGAAGGAUUCUUAAGCACAAGAAUGCUUAAUAUCGAAUGAAAUUGUUUCUGUUUCUGCCAUUGCAAAUGAUUCCGACUCCUCAACUUUUAGGAAAGUCUGUUGUAAACACUCGCGUGUUGAGAACUUUUUUGUUUUUGGAUUGAAAAUGGUGGGAAGACCUCAUUUCCUUAAAGUGGAAUAGGGUCAGCACUAACAGGAAAAGCCAUACAUGAACACAGUAAGCCAAAGCCAGUAUUCAGAGCUAAGGAAGCCCCUCCCUUUCCCCCUCUUCCCGCAAAAGUCUAGAAUUUUUGGAGUAGACUUUGGUCUUCAGUGGCCCAUGGGAUGGAUGUUUGAACCAAGGAGAAAGUAGAUCCCAGCUGAUACUCGGGUUAUAUCCAUACAGUCUGAAAAUACAAUAACUUUUUAAGGGUGGAAGUAGGGGGUGGAAAUUUUUGAUUUCUAGGGCUGCACUUUCUAUCAUAAUGCUCAUUAUCAGCAGCAUAUGAUGCUGUUGGCAUUUUCUUCUACAAACAUACCAGGGAUUUAACAUUUAUUUUGACUUUUUAAGUCAAGUCCAAGCUAGUCAAUUAUGUAGUCUGGUAAACCAAAAGACAUUGCUGAAAUCCGUGGUGAUGGUUUUGAAACUAUUUUGUGCAUUUGCAUUUAUUGGAAGUGUAAUUAUAGGUUGCCUCUCUCUGUAGCAUUUCUCAUGGCACGUAGGGGAAUUUGUUUGUAUGUGGAAAUCUUUAUAGGAAGUAGCGUUGUUGUGUGAGGCUUGCAGACUGGUACCUACAUGUUAGAAAAUGCCCACAUUCUUUGGGUUUAUCAUCACUUAUGAAUAAUGGCCCUGGGCUAUAGUGAGAAAAAGUAUCAAUGACCCUUUCCUUGAACUUCUCUUUUAAAAGAGCAAAUUUCACAUAUGUCUAAAAUGAAGAUGACCUAAUUUUUUAUGUUAGUGUUUUAAUCUACCCACCUCUGUUGUAUUUUGCUCAUUAUUAGUUGCAAGAUAGGCAUGUUUAUAAGUUGAUAAGAGAAAAAGAGAGACCGAAAGAUGAAGAAAAGAAGAUAUAUUUUAAGAUAUGAUAUAGGCAACUUGCCUAACUUCUUUAUUUGGAAAGUCUCUCAUGUUCCAUUUUUAACUAAUAUGCCUCACAUUGCCACAUCUUGAUGUUCUGACAGGGUCUUCAGGAAAAAUCUAUUUGAUGGUGCAACUCCUUGAUGGCAUAUCUUGACAUUUGAGAAUCUUCCAGAAAACAAUGCAGUGUACAAACAGAACAAGUGCCUUGACUACUUGUCUACACUUAGCCAUAACUAUGCUACUCUCAUAGUUAUGGGAAAGGCUGAGAGCCAAGUUCUUGUCUGGCUUUGAAUCUAGUCAAGUCCUUACAUGCUGUGAAGCUUCAGGGCAAAGCUGAAUUUUUCCAAGACUCAGGGAGCCUACUGUUCAGUGAUACAGAAUUAUAUUUCCGAUUUAAAAAAAAGUGACACAGUCAAACUAAUUUUAUGGAAAUCAGAAAUGAAAGCCAGGAGUUCCUGUUGUGGCUCAGUGGUUAAGGGCCCAAUGUUUUCUCUCUGAGGAUGUGGGUUCAAACCCUGGCCUUGAUUAGUGGGUUAAGGAUCUGGCAUUUCUGAAAGUUGUAGUGCAGGCCUGCAGCUGCAGCUCCCGUUUGACCUCUAGCCCAGAAACUUCCAUAUGCCACAGGA
rnacentral:lncRNA from 1 species